rnacentral:rRNA from 1 species
CCUACGGGAGGCAGCAGUAGGGAAUCUUCCGCAAUGGACGAAAGUCUGACGGAGCAACGCCGCGUGAACGAUGAAGGCUUUCGGGUCGUAAAGUUCUGUUGUUAGGGAAGAACAAGUAUCGGAGUAACUGCCGGUACCUUGACGGUACCUAACCAGAAAGCCACGGCUAACUACGUGCCAGCAGCCGCGGUAAUACGUAGGUGGCAAGCGUUGUCCGGAAUUAUUGGGCGUAAAGCGCGCGCAGGCGGUCCUUUAAGUCUGAUGUGAAAGCCCACGGCUCAACCGUGGAGGGUCAUUGGAAACUGGGGGACUUGAGUACAGAAGAGGAAAGCGGAAUUCCACGUGUAGCGGUGAAAUGCGUAGAGAUGUGGAGGAACACCAGUGGCGAAGGCGGCUUUCUGGUCUGUAACUGACGCUGAGGCGCGAAAGCGUGGGGAGC